UACGGGGGGGGCAAGCGUUGUUCGGAAUUACUGGGCGUAAAGGGCUCGUAGGCGGCCAACUAAGUCGGAUGUGAAAUCUUAUGGCUUAACCAUAAAAGUGCAUCCGAAACUGCAGUGCUUGAGUACUUAAGAGGAUCGCGGAAUUCCCGGUGUAGAGGUGAAAUUCGUAGAUAUCGGGAGGAACACCAGUGGCGAAGGCGGCGAUCUGGGAAGAUACUGACGCUGAGGUGCGAAAGCGUGGGGAGCAAACAGG
rnacentral:rRNA from 1 species